rnacentral:rRNA from 1 species
ACGGAAGGCAGCAGUGGGGAAUAUUGCACAAUGGGGGAAACCCUGAUGCAGCAACGCCGCGUGAGUGAAGAAGUAUUUCGGUAUGUAAAGCUCUAUCAGCAGGGAAGAUAAUGACGGUACCAGACUAAGAAGCUCCGGCUAAAUACGUGCCAGCAGCCGCGGUAAUACGUAGGGGGCAAGCGUUAUCCGGAUUUACUGGGUGUAAAGGGUGCGUAGACGGUUUGGCAAGUCAGAAGUGAAAUCCCGGGGCUUAACUCCGGUGCUGCUUUUGAAACUGUCAGACUAGAGUGCUGGAGGGGCAAGCGGAAUUCCUGGUGUAGCGGUGAAAUGCGUAGAUAUCAGGAGGAACACCGGUGGCGAAGGCGGCUUGCUGGACAGUAACUGACGUUGAGGCACGAAGCGUGGGGAGCAAACAGGAUUAGAUACCCUGGUA